GGUAAGACUCCAGUGUGUAUUCAGCUAUUGUGCACUUCUCGGCUGACUAAACAGUGGUGGAAUUUAGUCAGGGUUGCACGUGCAGGUACAACUCGUCGACGUCAAGGAGAAUGAUGCCUUAGACCAGUCUGAGAAGCCAUCGCCGUCCUCGGGUGCUGCCGCCAACGGAUACGGGUGCUUGGUGACUGAAGAGGAUGUUAGAGUUUUUCAUGUCAUCGACAACUCUGCGUCACUAGUAGAUUGGGGUGUUCGGCUGCCACCCUUGUCUCCGCCGUGGCCAUCCUCCUCUUCAUCUGUUCCACAACGUCCAUGGCUUAAACAAGGUACAGCUCAUGGACGCCAAGGAGAAUGAUGCCUUAGACUAGUCUGAGAAGCCAUCGCUGCCCUUGGAUGUUCCCGCCGACAAAGACGGGCACAUGGUGACACAAGAUUGGGCUACUCAGCCAACGAUAAGUGGCGGUGUACUUCAUCACAGCCUUCCUUUUUCGAAAACAUCAGUCAAUCCUUCGUUAAGUGAGCAUAAUGGACAUCAAUGACCCAACCAUGCCCAUAAUGGCCAUACAGUACAACAAGGCAUCCUCGUUGGUCUAUGUUGCAAAUGGGCUGCAGCACUUUCCAUGCUUUCAAGCCGAAGGACUUCACUCCGAGGGCAUACUCUACAAGCAAUACAAAUUCAGAGAGACACGAGGAAAUCAAGUCAAAUCAACCGAUUGUCUUAGACCCUUUUGCACAUGGACAUUUGAGAGCACUCUACUCUUUAGUCUGUUGGAACAAAGUUAUGAUGUUUCCGUUUCACACAAGAAAUCAAUUGCAAGAAGAUCAUGACAGCAGCUUGUCAUGUAAGG